rnacentral:rRNA from 1 species
UACGAAGGAUGCAAGCGUUAUCCGGAUUUAUUGGGUUUAAAGGGAGCGUAGGCGGUCUUAUAAGUCAGUGGUGAAAUCUUGUCGCUUAACGACAAACGUGCCAUUGAUACUGUAGGACUUGAGUACAGAUGCCGUUGGCGGAAUGUGUCAUGUAGCGGUGAAAUGCAUAGAUAUGACACAGAACACCGAUUGCGAAGGCAGCUGACGAAACUGUAACUGACGCUGAGGCGCGAAAGCGUGGGGAGCAAACAGG